AAAGAUUAAUUAUUUAGGCUUCUAACCUAAUAGUAAUGGAUAAUUCAUUUAAUCUUUA
rnacentral:tRNA from 1 species